UACGGAGGGAGCUAGCGUUGUUCGGAAUUACUGGGCGUAGAGCGCACGUAGGCGGCUUUGUAAGUUAGAGGUGAAAGCCCGGGGCUCAACUCCGGAACUGCCUUUAAGACUGCAUCGCUUGAAUCCGGGAGAGGUGAGUGGAAUUCCGAGUGUAGAGGUGAAAUUCGUAGAUAUUCGGAAGAACACCAGUGGCGAAGGCGGCUCACUGGACCGGUAUUGACGCUGAGGUGCGAAAGCGUGGGGAGCAAACAGG
rnacentral:rRNA from 1 species